GACGAACGCUGGCGGCGUGGAUUAGGCAUGCAAGUCGAACGGUAUCAUCCUUUCGGGGGUGAGAGAGUGGCGAACUGGUGAGUAACACGUAGGUUAUCUACCCUCAAGACGGGGACAACCCAGGGAAACUUGGGCUAAUACCGGAUGUGAGCAACUUUUAGUUGUUUGAAAGGUGGCGUAAGCUGUCGCUUGGGGAUGAGCCUGCGUCCUAUUAGUUAGUUGGUGAGGUAACGGCUCACCUAGGCAAUGAUAGGUAGGCGGCCUUAACGGGUGGUCGCCCACACUGGGAUUGAGAUACGGCCCAGACUCCUACGGGAGGCAGCAGUCGAGAAUAGUCUACAAUGGUCGGAAGACUGAUAGUGCGACGCCGCGUGAACGAUGAAUCCCUUCGGGGUGUAAAGUUCUUUUAUAUGUGAGCAGUGCUUCUUAUAUUAACAGUAUGGGGAGAGAGAUAUUAGCAUAUGAAUAAGCAACGGCUAAACUCCGUGCCAGCAGCCGCGGU
rnacentral:rRNA from 1 species